CACUACCAUGGAAGUUUGUUUGACAACUCAAGCCUCUUCAUAGCUGAUUUUAAAAGACUUGUGAGCAUCUCCUCUGAGCUCCCAGAAGGAAAACAUGAUUGCUGAUUUACUCCCAAGUAAAUGUGAACAGGAUUUCAGGAAUUCAAUUGCUGUUUGAAUUGUAAAACUACUUGUACUUCGAAAAACCAGAGAUCUGAAAAGUUAAUACAACUAAACUGUAGCAGCGUAUCAAAAACCUUAAACAACACUCAGAGUCUGGUGUAAAGGAAAAUUAUUCAUGCAGGAAAAAUACCACCAACCCAACAGGAAACCCAAUAGUCAUUGAAGAAGAGCCAAUACAAAUACCCCCCAAAGUCCCAGCCACUCCAAGAGCAAGCCGUAAUACACUGUGGCCCUGCCAUAUUGACAUAGGCUAUUUCCCUGGCAAUUCCUUGGAUUUCAUAACAGUCUGGAUUUUUAAAAAACGGAUAAUUCCUGUUCAGCUUUACAGAGGGCUGAACACUGCCAUGAACAGUGACACCUUCUGUGGCAUUUAUAAGAGGAAAUCUCUUCAUAACAAUCCCAUGAGCUGCGUCAUGGGCACAGCAGUUCACAGGACCAGGAACGAAGAUCCUGGCUCUGAUGCUAUGACAACACAACUGGUGUCUUUUUCCUCCUAUUUGGGGUGAAAUGGGCCUUCCUGGCCAAUCUGAGCUAGUGAAAUCCUGGGCUUUUCUGGGUUGACAAAUUUGGUUACCUGACAAAUAGCAGCAGAGCCAAAUAGUAUUGGAUUUGUCGAUGAAACUGUGGAAGCUGCUUUUUUCAAUGCUGUGGUUACAACAACCUUUCCAGAUUUCAUUCCUUGCUCAAUAAAGCGUCAAUCUGUAAUGAAAUAAUGAAAGAAAAUCCACUUUAAAUGAUAAGGAAAUCGGCAGCAACAAUUUGUAAAGCAUGUUAUAACUGUUUGCUAUCGUUCUUCUGGAGUACACAUUUAGUAAAUUACUGGAACAUAUUGUUAGAUGAGUUAUAUAUAUUGGGUGAUAUUUUACUAAGUAUUUUCAGACAAAACAAUUUUUUCAAAAAAUAUUUAUAGCCACCUUU